GGUGAUAUUUCCAGGGCAUUAGAGGAAAAAAUUGUUCCAUACUGUGAUGGGAUUAUGACACAACUUCUCAAGAAUUUGUCAAGCAAUCAGUUGCAUCGUUCAGUGAAGCCUCCCAUAUUUUCAUGCUUCGGCGACAUUGCAUUGGCAGUAGGAGAAUAUUUUGAAAAGUACUUAAUGUGGGCCAUGUCUGCACUUCAGAGAGCGGCAGAGUUGUCUACCCAUGCAGCAGGUGAUGAUGAAUUGACAGAGUACAGAAAUUCCCUGAGAAAUGGAAUUCUGGAGGCAUAUUCUGGGAUUUUCCAAGGAUUUAAGAAUUCUCCAAAGACCCACCUCUUGAUUCCUUAUGCACCUCAUGUUCUCCAGUUCUUGGAUGGUAUAUACGUGGAGAAAGACAUGUGAGUUCUACUAAAGGAUACUCUUUUAAGCUUUUACUCUUUUGAAUGGCUUGGUUUUUUAUGUGUGGAUAUUAACAAUUUUUUUAUGUUACCUAUAGGGAUGAUGUGGUCAUGAAGACUGCCAUUGGAGUCCUUGGAGAUCUAGCUGAUACAUUGGGAAGUCCUGCUGCUACUCUGAUACAGCAAUCUCUCUCAAGCAAAGACUUUUUAAAUGAAUGCUUGUCUUCAGAGGACCAUAUGAUUAAAGAAUCUGCUGAAUGGGCGAAGUUGGCCAUUAGUCGAGCCAUUUCUGUUUGAGGGUGUUGCCAUUCAGCAUGUUUAUUUUCUUUUGGAAGUCCAAGCAUUUGGGUGUGUCGAGUUGAGGGUCUGGGAUUGCAUGUGUCAAGUCAUUGCCAUUUUCAAGACAACAGAAGUUAUCAGUCUUCAAGUUGUCAUUAACUCUUGCAUCAUCAUCAUGAGGUCAGAUUCCAUUUUUUGUCAUUAAGGAAGGGGAUUGGGAUUGUUUCAUAGAAGUUGAUGGAUGUCUCGAUGAAAUUGGGGGAGAGGAUAUAUUUCGGUCCUAAAGAGUUGAAGUUAAGGAGGCCAGAGGGAUCAGUAACCAUGAUUUGCUGGAGUGACUGACUAGUCAGGUAGCUUGGUCACUUGCUUCUCAUACGCCCCCUGUGUCAAGACAAACAUCAUUUUUGCCUUGAUUUGUUUUUCUCCAAGUAAAUUUAUAUAUUGUUGGAGUGGAGGAAUGAGGCUCUGCUUUUCACCAUUGUCCAUCUAUCACCUAGUUUUGGUUCAAGUGUUUCUCACCCCCUUGAUUUUGUAGUUGAAGUCUUCAUAUUUCUUUUAAAGUAUACAUCAGUGGCUGGGUUGUAUUUAAUCUCCGGUGCUUCUUUUUGUAUAUUUGGUUUCGGUGGAGUCGGGGGUUAACCACAUCAUGCUAUUGUCAGCAUUCCAUCCUGCAUUCCAUUAUUAUUAUUGUUGUUGUUGUUGUUUUUUUUUUUUUUUUUGGUUUUUAAUUCCAAUGGUUACCAAGUCUGGAGUUAAUUGUUCAAAUAUCAUGCAUUCAUAAGUUUAUCUGUUUUGCGUUCCCGUUGCCUCAAAGUUGAGAUUGUAUACUAUAUUUUUGGUUAUCGCUGCUUAUAGAGAAGCUGAUACUACAUCGGAAUUUGGGCCGAAAUUUAAUGGAUGAUAAUAUAGUUUAUGUAUUUCUGGGUUAGCAGGAGUUUUACUUUGCUGACAAGUGUCAUAAACGCAUUUGUUAAAAGAAUUAUUAAAUAAUUUAAUUUUUCAAUUUAUUGAAAUUCAAUCUUUAAUAGAAUAUAUUGUUAAUGUUUUAUAUUUAACUUAAAGAGCGUCUUCAAGAUAUUAGUUAGGAAGAAAAUGAUUAAUUUGAGUGAUUGCUUAUUUCAUACGAGCUUGGGAUUCAUAUUUUGUCAUUUAUAAUUCUUUCAUUUUUUUUAACGUAUAUUUUUGUAAUAGAAAUAUUUUAAAGUAAUAUAUUAUCUACAUUAAAAUUUAUUAUUUUAAUUAUCAAUUAUUAUUUUUAAUAUAAAAUAUUAUAAUAAAUAACGAUCUUAUUAAUAUUGAAGAUUAAGUAGUGUUUUAGGUAUUCUUGUAAAAUCUUUUUUAAAAUAUAAAAAAAGUAAAUUCAUAACAAUUUUCUGUUAAAGUUUUUAUAAUACGGAUAAACUACUUUUAAUUUAAAAUAUAAAUAAGGAUUAUUAUAAGUAUUAAAAGUGGAAUAAUCUCUAAUCCUUAUGAAGUUAAUUAAAUUAUUAUUUUAAUUAUUUUAAUUUUUAUGAAGUUUUAGGGACAUGUAAAAAUUAUAUUUUUAUUUUUCCACCAAUUUAUUAUAAUCGGAAACAAAUAUUACAAGAAAAUUAACAAAUUAAAUUGAUUAGUUAAUUAAUCGACAAAAAAUUAAAUCAAACUCGCAAGUUAAUCAAGGAACUUGCAUUUAAUUAAAAAAAAUCCAAUAUAAAAUCAGAUGAAAUUCAUGCAAGGUGAUAUUUGAAGUUAAAAUUUUGAAAUUCGGGGAUUUCUUUUUUAUUAAAAUAAGUUUUCAUUAAAUAAUAAUAAAAUAAAGCAUUACUUUUGAAUAUAAUUUUUUUAAAUAAUAUUUUUAAGCCGUGUAACUUUUCCUUCUAAAAAAUAAAUUACAUAAUAAAUUUGUAUAAAUUAUUUGAGUCCAGCUUCAAAUCCGCGUCUCCUUCUUCAUCGCUUCUUCUUGGUCUUCUUUUUGCUUUUUCUGUUUUAUUUUCUCUCUCCAAUUAUUAGGGUUUUAUUCAGGCCCCAACGCUCUUCUUCGAUCGGUGAAAGGUAAGGUCUGCAUCGAAUUUCGUGUAUUUUAAGGUUAUAUUGUCGAAUUCUCCUCUGAAGGUUUCAUUUCUUGUUCGUAGUUAGGGUUUGGGAUAGUGAUUUUGUGUAUUUGAUAUUGAUUGCAUCCGCACCUUUUUUUUUAUUACUGUUUAGAUCCCUAGGGUUCUGUUUAUUUGGAGUACUAAUCAGAGUAUUAGAUUUUUUGGAAAGAUUUGAAUGAUCGAAUUUCUACGUGUUUAUUAUAUUUAAUUUAAAUCUAAUUUGAUCUGGGAGUUUUUUUUUAUUUUACUUGUCGAAUUGGCACCAUUGAACCCGAAUAUUUAAGUGUUCCUCUUAGCUGCUAUGUACCUAAGUAGAGAUGAUAAUUGGGUUUUGAUGGGUCAAUUUGAUUCAUUCGCUACAUAUUGGUUUUAUUCUUGUUACUUUCGUUCACUUUUUUUCAAUAAAUUUUGAGGGAACCGUUUUAUGUUAGUUUUCCUUUGGUUGGGAUCUUUUUCUCAUUAUACGGUUUUUCAUUACCUUUAACGUGUUUUCAGGAUUGAAGUGUUGUAAUAUUUAGGCUGUUUAGCACUGGAUUUUUGUGUGUCUGAUUGAUUAAAUUGUUAAUGCUUUCAGAAAUAUUAGAGGCAAUGGAAGUUACACAGGUGCUUUUGAAUGCGCAAUCAAUAGAUGGAGCUGUGCGGAGGAAUGCUGAAGAAAGCUUGAAACAGUUUCAGGAGCAGAACCUUCCUGGCUUCUUGCUGUCACUUUCUGGAGAGUUGGCAAAUGAGGAGAAGCCUGUUGAAACGCGUAAAUUAGCUGGUUUGAUACUUAAGAAUGCAUUGGAUGCUAAGGAACAGCACAGGAAGUUUGAGCUUGUUCAAAGAUGGUUGUCAUUGGAUGGCAAUGCAAAGAGCCAGAUUAAGGCGUGCUUACUGAAGACUCUGUCUUCUCCAGUGCCUGAUGCUUGGUCAACUGCAUCUCAAGUCAUUGCCAAGGUUGCUGGCAUUGAGUUGCCACAGAAACAGUGGCCCGAGUUGAUAGGUUCACUUUUAUCAAAUGUUCAUCAGCUACAAGCAAAUGCUAAGCAAUCCACUUUGGAGACUCUUGGGUAUUUGUGUGAGGAGGUGUCUCCUGAUGUUAUUGAUCAAGAUCAAGUAAAUAAAAUACUUACAGCUGUAGUUCAAGGCAUGAGUGCUUCGGAGGGAAACCCUGAUGUGAGGCUUGCUGCUACAAGAGCACUUUACAAUGCUCUGGGAUUUGCUCAGGCAAAUUUCAGCAAUGACAUGGAGCGUGAUUACAUCAUGAGAGUUGUUUGUGAGGCAACCCUGUCCCCAGAAGUGAGGAUAAGGCAGGCAGCUAUGGAGUGUUUGGUCUCCAUUUCAUCAACUUACUAUGAGAAACUAGCUCCUUAUAUCCAGGAUAUUUUUAACAUCACAGCAAAGGCUGUAAGGGAAGACGAGGAACCUGUGGCUCUUCAAGCCAUUGAGUUCUGGAGUUCAAUAUGUGAUGAGGAGAUAGAUAUUUUGGAAGAAUAUGGAGGUGAUUUCACUGGGGACUCUGAUAUUCCUUGCUUUUACUUUAUCAAGCAGGCACUCCCUGCCCUUGUUCCUAUGCUGUUGGAGACACUCUUGAAGCAGGAAGAGGGUCAGGAUCAGGAUGAAGGGGCUUGGAAUAUUGCAAUGGCUGGGGGAACCUGUCUUGGGUUGGUUGCACGGACGGUAGGAGAUGAUAUUGUCCCUCUUGUUGUACCAUUUACUGAGGAGAAUAUAACAAAACCAGAUUGGAGGCAGAGGGAAGCAGCAACUUACGCCUUUGGUUCUAUCUUGGAGGGUCCUUCCCCUGAAAAGUUAAUACCUCUUGUGAAUGUUGCCUUAACCUUCAUGCUCAGUGCUUUGACAAAGGACCCAAAUAGCCAUGUCAAAGACACUACUGCCUGGACCCUUGGACGAAUCUUUGAAUUCCUUCAUGGCUCAGUUGUAGAUUCACCCAUCAUCACUCAGGCAAAUUGCCAACAGAUAGUUACAGUUCUGCUACAGAGUAUGAAGGACACUCCAAAUGUUGCUGAGAAGGCCUGUGGUGCCCUCUAUUUUCUUGCUCAAGGUUAUGAGGAGGUGGGUCCAUCAUCUCCUUUAACUCCUUUUUUCCAGGAAAUUGUGCAGUCCCUUCUAACUGUCACUCACCGAGAAGAUGCUGGGGAAUCCCGGCUGAGGACUGCUGCCUAUGAGACAUUGAAUGAAGUGGUGAGGUGUUCAACAGAUGAGACAGCUCCAUUGGUGUUGCAAUUGGUGCCUGUCAUCAUGAUGGAGCUUCAUAACACUCUUGAGGGGCAGAAACUGUCAUCUGAUGAAAGGGAGAAGCAGAGUGAAUUGCAAGGCCUUCUUUGUGGGUGCUUACAAGUCAUUAUUCAGAAGCUUGGUUCAUCAGAACCAACCAAGUAUGUGUUCAUGCAGUAUGCAGAUCAGAUAAUGGGGCUUUUCCUAAGGGUUUUUGCUUGUAGGAAUGCGACUGUGCACGAGGAGGCCAUGCUUGCAAUCGGAGCCCUUGCUUAUGCAACAGGAACAGAUUUUGCAAAGUACAUGCCAGAGUUUUAUAGGUACUUGGAAAUGGGUCUUCAGAAUUUCGAAGAGUACCAAGUCUGUGCUGUCACGGUUGGUGUUGUGGGUGAUAUUUCCAGGGCAUUAGAGGAAAAAAUUGUGCCUUUUUGUGAUGGGAUUAUGACACAACUUCUCAAGAAUUUGUCGAGCAACCAGCUGCAUCGUUCUGUGAAGCCUCCCAUAUUUUCAUGCUUUGGCGACAUUGCAUUGGCAGUAGGAGAGUAUUUUGAAAAGUAUUUAAUGUGGGCCAUGACUGCACUUCAGAGUGCUGCAGAGUUGUCUACCCAUACAGC
rnacentral:lncRNA from 1 species